CCUGCUCUCUGACCACCCCGCGCUCCUGAUUCCUCCCCAGCCUGUGUCGAAGCCACAACUUUCAGGAGCAUGGACUGAAGGCGCCCUCGCCCCAGCGCCCCUCUAAGAUCCUUUGUGUUUUUCUGCAUUUCCUCCUGCCUUUUCUAUUCUGGGGAGGCCCUUCGAUUCCCCCACCUCUGCCCUCCCCUUCCCUGAUCGCAAACAUGCCUCCUUCCUUCCCAGGGCCCUGGAAGGAGCUGCCUGCCUGAAUCCCAGAUCUGCAGCGAGUGAUCAGCCCACCUCCGCCCGCCGGCUCUCCGGCUGCGCUGUGCUGCCAACUCAAGUUGGAGAUCCUCAGCUGCUCGUCGUCGCCGCCCGCGGUCCCUGCCUGCCCAGGGCCCCGGGCAUCCUCGCUGUCUGCCCACUCCUCGCUCUGCCCGCUCCGCUUGCUCCUGUUUGAAUAGCAACCAGCCCUUCUCCAAGGAGAGGAUUGUCCCCAGCGUGGCUUUGCAUCCUCAGUCACUUUUUGAGAUUUUCCGGGGUGUGGGGAGGUAGGGGGUGGUGCUUGGCGGCUUCCCGGAUUCCAGGGGGACUCCCCGCUGAGCGUGAAGGGCCCGUGGAUCUGGCGAGCCAGGGAAGCACCUAGGCUUAGCGGAGGCUCCCCCGGAAGGACAUAGAAUCUCCCGAUUUUUCUGUCUUCUCAUCCACCAGUUCUUGGGUACUUGGAGGUGGGGGUUAUCUAAAUAAAAA
rnacentral:lncRNA from 1 species